CAACUUGAGAGUUUGAUCCUGGCUCAGAACGAACGCUGGCGGCAGGCUUAACACAUGCAAGUCGAACGAGAAGCUACCUUCGGGUAGUGGAAAGUGGCAGACGGGUGAGUAACGCGUGGGAAUAUACCUAGAGGUACGGAACAACGCCGGGAAACUGGUGCUAAUACCGUAUGUGCCCUUCGGGGGAAAGAUUUAUCGCCUUUAGAUUAGCCCGCGUUAGAUUAGCUUGUUGGUGAGGUAAAAGCUCACCAAGGCGACGAUCUAUAGCUGGUCUGAGAGGAUGAUCAGCCACACUGGGACUGAGACACGGCCCAGACUCCCCCGGGAGACUCCUACGGGAGGCAGCAGUGGGGAAUCUUGCACAAUGGGCGAAAGCCUGAUGCAGCCAUGCCGCGUGUGUGAUGAAGGCCCUAGGGUUGUAAAACACUUUCAGUGGGGAAGAUAAUGACGGUACCCACAGAAGAAGCUCCGGCUAACUCCGUGCCAGCAGCCGCGGUAAUACGGAGGGAGCUAGCGUUGUUCGGAAUUACUGGGCGUAAAGCGCGCGUAGGCGGAUUGAUUAGUCAGAGGUGAAAUCCCAGGGCUCAACCCUGGAACUGCCUUUGAUACUGUCAGUCUAGAGACCGAGAGAGGUGAGUGGAAUUUCCAGUGUAGAGGUGAAAUUCGUAGAUAUUGGAAAGAACACCAGUGGCGAAGGCGGCUCACUGGCUCGGUACUGACGCUGAGGUGCGAAAGGGGGGGGCAAACAGGAUUAGAUAC
rnacentral:rRNA from 1 species